UGCACUUAUCGGAGCAAAACCUUUCUUGGUUUUAUGCUAACUCUGGAUAACCUUGCUUAUCGCAUGGCUUUAUGUCGGCGAAGUUGCACUCGAGUAUCUGCCUUAUCAACUAUCGUCGGUAGUGUAUUGGACUACCGAGGUGUUGACGGGUAACGGAGAAUCAGGGUUCGACUCCGGAGAGGGAGCCUUAGAAACGGGUACCAUGUCUAAGGACAGCAGCAGGCGCCCAACUUAUCCACUGGUCAUUGAACGAGAUAGUGACCAGAAAUAACAAGCUUGUUCUUUUUGAGGUCGAGCAUUGGAAUGGACGGGAUGUAAACCACUCCGUGAGUAUUAACCAGAGGGCAAGUCUGGUGCCAGCAGCCGCGGUAAUUCCAGCU
rnacentral:rRNA from 1 species